GACGAAGGGGGCUAGCGUUGUUCGGAAUUACUGGGCGUAAAGCGCGCGUAGGCGGUCUUUCAAGUCAGGAGUGAAAGCCCCGGGCUCAACCCGGGAAUAGCUCUUGAUACUGUUGGACUUGAGUCCGGGAGAGGAUAGUGGAAUUCCCAGUGUAGAGGUGAAAUGCGUAGAUAUCGGGAGGAACACCUGUGGCGAAAGCGGCUCUCUGGACCACAACUGACGCUGAGGCGCGAAAGCUAGGGGAGCAAACAGG
rnacentral:rRNA from 1 species